UGGGGAAUAUUGCACAAUGGGCGCAAGCCUGAUGCAGCCAUGCCGCGUGUAUGAAGCAGGCCUCCGGGUUGUAAAGUACUUUCAGCGGGGAGGAAGGGAGUAAAGUUAAUACCUUUGCUCAUUGACGUUACCCGCAGAAGAAGCACCGGCUAACUCCGUGCCAGCAGCCGCGGUAAUACGGAGGGUGCAAGCGUUAAUCGGAAUUACUGGGCGUAAAGCGCACGCAGGCGGUUGAUUGAGUCAGAUGUGAAAUCCCCGGGCUUAACCCGGGAGUUGCAUCUGAUACUGGUCAGCUAGGGACUAGUAGGGGGGGGUAGGAUUGCAGGUGUAGCGGUGAAAUGCGUAGGGAAGUGGAGAAAUACCGGUGGCAAAGGGGGCCCCCUGGACAAAGACUGACGCUCAGGUGCGAAAGCGUGGGGAGCAAACGGG
rnacentral:rRNA from 1 species